GAUCAUGGCUCAGGGUGAACGCUAGCUACAGGCUUAACACAUGCAAGUCGAGGGGCAGCAUGGACUCAGCUUCGCUGAGUUUGAUGGCGACCGGCGCACGGGUGAGUAACGCGUAUCCAACCUGCCCCUUACUCCGGGAUAGUCUCCUGAAAGGGAGUUUAAUACCGGAUGUGUUUGUCUUUCCGCAUGGGAGCGACAAAUAAAGAUUGAUUGGUAAAGGAUGGGGAUGCGUCCCAUUAG
rnacentral:rRNA from 1 species